UCUGCGGGCAACUGGCUAAGACCGAAGCCUCCAGAAGGAGCCUGGGACCCUAAGGCCGCCCCCGCGUCGCAAGCCCCCCAGCGCCGGGCAGGAGCCGCGGCGGGAACGGCAGUCCGGGAAGUGGCCGAGCAGAGCGCCCCAGGAUAAGGGGAGGAGCACGCCUUUCCUCGGGGCAAGAAAGGCGGAGAAAAAAAGGAAGGCGAGAGACGCGAGGGGUCCCAGGCUCAGGACGAGACGCCUCUAACUCCUUUCCUGGGAAGCCUGCUCUGUGUCCGAUGACAGUUUCCUGGACUCCGCAUCACACCUGUGUGGGGUUUCCUCGAGCUGCUGGGUGACCAGCUCCACUCCAUGGCCCUCUUGGCUCCAACAUCCGCAGACUUUUCUCUUCCUUCUGCCAUCUGAUGGAGGAGCAUGCUGAAAAGAACAUGGAGGGCAGUAGCAUGGGGGCAAGGGCCUGGGCGUGGAGCUGGGGUAAGGCUUGGGCAGAUAGUGGAGGCCGAGGGGGGAGGCCGAGGCAGCCAGAGCAGCCUCCAGUAGCCUGGUCCAACUCCCAGCAGGCUCCGUUCUGCUCCCUUGGCCUGGCUUAGAUCUCUUUUCUUAAUCCAAUAAAGGGGCACUUGCCUAAAUUUGAAAA